rnacentral:rRNA from 1 species
GUAGGGUGCGAGCGUUAAUCGGAAUUACUGGGCGUAAAGCGUGCGCAGGCGGUUGUGCAAGACAGAUGUGAAAUCCCCGGGCUCAACCUGGGAAUUGCAUUUGUGACUGUACGGCUAGAGUGUGUCAGAGGGGGGUAGAAUUCCACGUGUAGCAGUGAAACGCGUAGAGAUGUGGAGGAAUACCGAUGGCGAAGGCAGCCCCCUGGGAUAACACUGACGCUCAUGCACGAAAGCGUGGGGAGCAAACAGGAUUAGAUACCCUGGUAGUCCACGCCCCUAAACGAUGUCAACUAGUUGUCGGGUCUUAAUUGACUUGGUAACGCAGCUAACGCGUGAAGUUGACCGCCUGGGAGUACGGUCGCAAGAUUA